rnacentral:rRNA from 1 species
CCUUAGAGUUUGAUACUGGCUCAGAACGAACGCUUGCGGCAGGCUUAACACAUGCAAGUCGAACGCCCCUUUCGGGGGGAGUGGCAGACGGGUGAGUAACACGUGGGAACGUACCUCUUUGUUCGGAAUAACUCAUGGAAACGUGAGCUAAUACCGGAUACGCCCUUUUGGGGAAAGAUUUAUCGCAGAGAGAUCGGCCCGCGUCUGAUUAGCUAGUUGGUGAGGUAAUGGCUCACCAAGGCGACGAUCAGUAGCUGGUCUGAGAGGAUGAUCAGCCACACUGGGACUGAGACACGGCCCAGACUCCUACGGGAGGCAGCAGUGGGGAAUAUUGGACAAUGGGGGCAACCCUGAUCCAGCCAUGCCGCGUGAGUGAUGAAGGCCUUAGGGUUGUAAAGCUCUUUUAUCCGGGAAGAUAAUGACUGUACCGGAAGAAUAAGCCCCGGCUAACUUCGUGCCAGCAGCCGCGGUAAUACGAAGGGGGCUAGCGUUGUUCGGAAUCACUGGGCGUAAAGGGCGCGUAGGCGGACGAUUAAGUCAGGGGUGAAAUCCCGGGGCUCAACCUCGGAAUUGCCCUUGAUACUGGUUGUCUUGAGAUUGGAAGAGGUAAGUGGAAUUGCGAGUGUAGAGGUGAAAUUCGUAGAUAUUCGCAAGAACACCGGUGGCGAAGGCGACUUACUGGUCCAUAUCUGACGCUGAGGCGCGAAAGCGUGGGGAGCAAACAGGAUUAGAUACCCUGGUAGUCCACGCCGUAAACGAUGGAUGCCCAACUGUUGGGGAACAUGCUCUUCAGUG